GACGAACGCUGGCGGCGUGCUUAACACAUGCAAGUCGAACGGAAAGGCCCUGCUUUUGUGGGGUGCUCGAGUGGCGAACGGGUGAGUAACACGUGAGUAACCUGCCCUUGACUUUGGGAUAACUUCAGGAAACUGGGGCUAAUACCGGAUAGGAGCUCCUGCUGCAUGGCGGGGGUUGGAAAGUUUCGGCGGUUGGGGAUGGACUCGCGGCUUAUCAGCUUGUUGGUGGGGUAGUGGCUUACCAAGGCUUUGACGGGUAGCCGGCCUGAGAGGGUGACCGGCCACAUUGGGACUGAGAUACGGCCCAGACUCCUACGGGAGGCAGCAGUGGGGAAUAUUGCACAAUGGGCGGAAGCCUGAUGCAGCAACGCCGCGUGCGGGAUGACGGCCUUCGGGUUGUAAACCGCUUUCGCCUGUGACGAAGCGUGAGGGACGGUAAUGGGUAAAGAAGCACCGGCUAACUACGU
rnacentral:rRNA from 1 species